CUUUCCCUCCAACUAUGAUAGUUAAAGAUGUAAACACAACGGAAUAGGAUUACUGAAAGAUAAAAGAGUAGAUCAAAAGUUUACCUUUGAAACAGUCAUGAGUGAAUUCAAUAUAGAAGAUUCACCCACACCUCAACAUAGGAUUACUGUCAAAAGAACUAGGAGAAUUGGAGCUAAUAUGUUGAAAGAUAGAGCCCCAAACAUUUCUUCACUACCAUUGGUUUAAAAUAGAUGGCUAAAAGUACUCAAACAUAACAGAUUUUGGUUUCACCCAAUUUGAUAGAAAAUCUAUAAAUAUCUUAUAACUCAUGUAAAUAUACUAUCUUGGCCCGAACAUUAGCCAAUUCUCAUGAUUUAGCAUGAUUUAGCAUAAUAGUCUCUUUGAACCAUUUUAUCGAACAUGUAAUAUACAUAACAUGUAAAGUCAGAUUUUUCAUGGAUUUUAAACAUGUAAUCAUGCCAUCUCCUUUCAAAAUUCUUAUUAUAUCCUCUUGACUCCAUUUGAUUCCACCAUUCAAAUAACAUCCCACAACCAAACAUGGCAAUAACAAUAAACAAUUACUAAUUUUCCAUGAAUUUACUAAGGAAGCUUACAUACUUUUUCAAUAAAAUUUAACAAACACUAUUUCUAACUUGGUGAUGAACAAGUGUAAUCCUUCCUGCUGCAAUUGCUUUCUACUUCCCACUGAUUUACUUGUUAGUUCCCAUCUCUUCUUGUAUGCUUGGUGAUUUCAAUAGAAAUUGAAGAAGUUGGG
rnacentral:lncRNA from 1 species